UAUAUUACAGUUUUUGUGCUGUUCUACCUUAAGGGGAGCAAAUUCAAAGCUUUCCAGCUUGACUCGUACUUGUUCUUCCCUGAGAGCUCCGUCUCUUGCACGUCGAGUGCUUCCAUCCCCAAGUGCUUCUCUGUGCAGAGCAUUCCAGCACUGCACUGAUGUUUGUGUCCAAUAGCUUAACCUGCUUCUUCCACACACUCCAGACAGCCAGAUGGCUCCAUAAUGUGCAUCAAUAUUCCAGCAUAAAACUCACUUCAGUGCUGCUCUACAGCUCUGCACGGGCCCCUCCCGCAGCCGGCUGUUCACAAUGGCCAUUGUUACUGCAGAGCUAAACGCUGCCCUGGAACGUGUUCCAUGAAGGUGCUUACAGCUUUCUUCUUGGAGAGACAGUAAAACGUCAGGCUGUUUUCCUCUUCUUUUUGUGUAUGAGAAAACAGUUUAGUAACCUUUUUCCUUAACUGAAAUCCUGCUCCAAAAGUCCCUUAUUCUGCCAGGAGUUCUGCUGGGAUGGUUCUGGUGCUCCGAUUUCAUGAAAGCUGAAUUCCUCUGAAUCCAUGUGCCUAAGAAAAUGACAAGAUACAUCCAAAAAAUUGGAACCUGGCACUGGAAAAUAUUUAGGGACCUUCCUGUGACCAUAGCUAAUGACUUCUGAUAUGUUCCCUGAUGGAAUAAAGAAGCAGAAUUGAAUGCAUUGUAA